AAAGAAACCAACAGGGAUUGCCCUAGUAACGGCGAGUGAAGCGGCAACAGCUCAAAUUUGAAAUCUGGCCCUCGGGUCCGAGUUGUAAUUUGUAGAGGAUGCUUUUGGUGAGGUGCCUUCCGAGUUCCCUGGAACGGGACGCCAUAGAGGGUGAGAGCCCCGUCUGGUUGGACACCGAGCCUCUGUAAAGCUCCUUCGACGAGUCGAGUAGUUUGGGAAUGCUGCUCUAAAUGGGAGGUAUAUGUCUUCUAAAGCUAAAUACCGGCCAGAGACCGAUAGCGCACAAGUAGAGUGAUCGAAAGAUGAAAAGCACUUUGAAAAGAGAGUUAAAAAGUACGUGAAAUUGUUGAAAGGGAAGCGCUUAUGACCAGACUUGGGCUUGGUUGAUCAUCCUGGGUUCUCCCUGGUGCACUCUUCCAGUUCAGGCCAGCAUCAGUUCGCUGCGGGGGAUAAAAGUUUUGGGAAUGUGGCUCCUUCGGGAGUGUUAUAGCCCAUUUCAUAAUACCCUGCUCCGGACUGAGGUUCGCGCAUCUGCAAGGAUGCUGGCGUAAUGGUCAUCAGCGACCCGUCUUGAAACACGGACCAAGGAGUCGUCUUCGUAUGCGAGUGUUCGGGUGUUAAACCCCUACGCGUAAUGAAAGUGAACGCAGGUGAGAGCUUCGGCGCAUCAUCGACCGAUCCUGAUGUUCUCGGAUGGAUUUGAGUAAGAGCAUACGGGGCCGGACCCGAAAGAAGGUGAACUAUGCCUGUAUAGGGUGAAGCCAGAGGAAACUCUGGUGGAGGCUCGCAGCGGUUCUGACGUGCAAAUCGAUCGUCAAAUAUGGGCAUGGGGCGAAAGACUAAUCGAACCUUCUAGUAGCUGGUUUCCGCCGAAGUUUCCCUCAGGA
rnacentral:rRNA from 2 species